CACGUACUGUGCAAACGUUAUUCGGAUUCAUUGGGCUUAAAGGGUACGUAGGCGGCGCUGUUAGUCGGGUGUGAAAUCCCUCGGCUCAGCCGAGGAACUGCGCCCGAUACUGCAGUGCUUGAGGGAGACAGAGGUAAGCGGAACUGAUGGUGGAGCGGUGAAAUGCGUUGAUAUCAUCAGGAACACCAGUGGCGAAAGCGGCUUACUGGGUCUCUUCUGACGCUGAGGUACGAAAGCUAGGGGAGCGAACGGG
rnacentral:misc_RNA from 1 species